rnacentral:misc_RNA from 1 species
UUGAAAAUAAAACUGAUGAGUUGCUGCUGGCUUUUCUAAGGAGCAUGUGCACACUUGUCAUCUUUACAUCUCUACCUGUGCAUCUAUUGUAGACCUGGACAACUCUCUUAAUGCUCUAGCAUUCAGGUAUGAGGAUUGACUUUUCUGGCUAUCCUUGCAUUUCCAGGUCUAUGUUCUUUCAUAUAACCUCAAAUGUUAUGGAAUGUAAAUGCUAAGCGGCUUCUGUGCCCUAUAAACCUUAUA